rnacentral:rRNA from 1 species
UYCSCCYKKUUUUUCAAAAACAUGUYUUUUUGGAAAUAAUUUAAAGUYUAAUYUGCCCACUGAUAAAUAUAUUAAAGGGCUGCAGUAUUUUGACUGUACAAAGGUAGCAUAAUCAUUAGUYUYUUAAUUGGUGACUUGUAUGAAAGAUUGGAUGAAAUAUAAACUGUCUYUAAUUAAUUUAUAAAAUUUAAUUUUUUAGUAAAAAAGCUAAAAUAAUUUUAAAAGACGAGAAGACCCUAUAGAGUUUUAUAAUUUAUUUGAUUAUUAUUAAUAUGUAAAUUUUAAAAUUAAAAUUAAAUAAAUUAUUUUGUUGGGGKGACAGAAAAAUUAAAUUAACUUUUUUAAAUAAUUAACAUUAAUUUAUGAAUAAAUGAUCCAUUAAUAUUGAUUAAAAGAAAAAAUUACCUUAGGGAUAACAGCGUAAUUUUUUUUUUUAGUUCAAAUAGGAAAAAAAGUUUGCGACCUCGAUGUUGGAUUAAGAUAAAAUUUAAAUGCAAAAGUUAAAAUUUGAUCGUCGAUCUUCGUC